AACGAACGCUGGCGGCAGGCUUAACACAUGCAAGUCGAGCGCCUCGCCAGAGGAGCGGCAGACGGGUGAGUAACGCGUGGGAACGUACCCUUAUCUUCGGAAUAGCUCUGGGAAACUGGAAGUAAUACCGAAUGUGCCCUUAGGGGGAAAGAUUUAUCGGAUAAGGAUCGGCCCGCGUUGGAUUAGCUAGUUGGUGGGGUAAAGGCCUACCAAGGCGACGAUCCAUAGCUGGUCUGAGAGGAUGAUCAGCCACAUUGGGACUGAGACACGGCCCAAACUCCUACGGGAAGCAGCAGUGGGGAAUAUUGGACAAUGGGCGCAAGCCUGAUCCAGCCAUGCCGCGUGAGUGAUGAAGGCCUUAGGGUUGUAAAGCUCUUUCACCGGAGAAGAUAAUGACGGUAUCCGGAGAAGAAGCCCCGGCUAACUUCGUG
rnacentral:rRNA from 1 species